GCACAAGCGAGGAGCAUGUGGUUUAAUUCGAUGAUACGCGAGGAACCUUACCUGGGCUCGAACGUAAGAUGACUGUAGGUGAAAGCUUACAUCUCUUCGGAGCAUUUUACGAGGUGCUGCAUGGUUGUCGUCAGCUCGUGCCGUGAGGUGUCGGGUUAAGUCCCAUAACGAGCGCAACCCCUACCUUUAGUUGCCAUCAGGUAAUGCUGGGGACUCUAAAGGAACUGCCUACGCAAGUAGUGAGGAAGGCGGGGAUGACGUCAAAUCAGCACGGCCCUUACGUCCAGGGCUACACACGUGCUACAAUGGCCGAUACAGAGGGCAGCUACCUGGUGACAGGAUGCAAAUCUCCAAAGUCGGUCUCAGUUCGGAUCGGAGUCUGCAACCCGACUCCGUGAAGUUGGAUUCGCUAGUAAUCGCGCAUCAGCCAUGGCGCGGUGAAUACGUUCCCGGGCCUU
rnacentral:rRNA from 1 species